rnacentral:rRNA from 1 species
CUACACCUGAACAAGCAAGAUUACCCGCUGACUUAAGCAUAUCAGUA